AAGUCGAGGGGCAGCAUGACCUAGCAAUAGGUUGAUGGCGACCGGCGCACGGGUGAGUAACACGUAUCCAACCUACCGGUUAUUCCGGGAUAGCCUUUCGAAAGAAAGAUUAAUACCGGAUAGUAUAACGAGAAGGCAUCUUUUUGUUAUUAAAGAAUUUCGAUAACCGAUGGGGAUGCGUUCCAUUAGUUUGUUGGCGGGGUAACGGCCCACCAAGACAUCGAUGGAUAGGGGUUCUGAGAGGAAGGUCCCCCACAUUGGAACUGAGACACGGUCCAAACUCCUACGGGAGGCAGCAGUGAGGAAUAUUGGUCAAUGGACGAGAGUCUGAACCAGCCAAGUAGCGUGAAGGAUGACUGCCCUAUGGGGUUGUAAACUUCUUUUAUAUGGGAAUAAAGUGAGCCACGUGUGGCUUUUUGUAUGUACCAUACGAAUAAGGAUCGGCUAACUCCGUGCCAGCAGCCGCGGUAAUACGGAGGAUCCGAGCGUUAUCCGGAUUUAUUGGGUUUAAAGGGAGCGUAGGCGGACUAUUAAGUCAGCUGUGAAAGUUUGCGGCUCAACCGUAAAAUUGCAGUUGAUACUGGUCGUCUUGAGUGCAGUAGAGGUAGGCGGAAUUCGUGGUGUAGCGGUGAAAUGCUUAGAUAUCACGAAGAACUCCGAUUGCGAAGGCAGCCUGCUGGAC
rnacentral:rRNA from 1 species